UUAACCAUUAAUGUCAUUAUUUCAUUUGCUCCUUAUUAAAAGUCCAGUCUUUUCUCCCUUAUUCUCGGUGCAAAAUUUAAUGCUAAAAUAAAAGUCCUUUACUUUGAAUUUGUUCUUUCAAUUUGACUCAAGAAGUUUACAAAAACCCUAGCCGUCUCACUCCUCACAGUGGUGUCGUUAUCAUCCUUUCUCAAAUCACCUCCCUCUCGCCAUCCUUCGUCUUACACUAUCUUCAUCCCCAAAUAAUCGUAUACUUCACAUUGCAACGCCACAUUACGCCUCUUUGCUCGACCACACCACCUCUCUCUCUCUGCUCGGCCGUAUCAAAUCAAAAUCGUCGGAAAAGUCAGUCUCCGCCACCACCACAAAAAAUUUCUCUAUCUCCUUCUCCCUUUUCUCUAUCAAAAUCGCCGGAAAAGUCAGUCUUCGCCACCACCACAGAAAGAAAUUGAGUUAUAAAAGCUAGCAUCUGGAGUUUACCCUUACUAUGAAGGAAAAGAGUAUAAUUGGUUUAUACAGGAAUGUAAUUAAAUUGAACACUUUUGUAGCACAAACAAAAGCUUAAAUGUGACACCAUUUUUCUUGGUGCAAUUUCACAUCAAACACUUUUGUAGCACAAGCAAAAGCUAAAUAUAAUACAAAACAAGGUGUAGUCAUGGCUAAAAAA